CCCAGGUCAGGCGGGGCUACCCGCUGAAUUUAAG
rnacentral:rRNA from 1 species